GCUGGCGGCAUGCCUAACACAUGCAAGUCGAACGAGACCUUCGGGUCUAGUGGCGCACGGGUGCGUAACGCGUGGGAAUCUGCCCUUGGGUUCGGAAUAACAGUUGGAAACGACUGCUAAUACCGGAUGAUGACGUAAGUCCAAAGAUUUAUCGCCCAAGGAUGAGCCCGCGUAGGAUUAGCUAGUUGGUGAGGUAAAGGCUCACCAAGGCGACGAUCCUUAGCUGGUCUGAGAGGAUGAUCAGCCACACUGGGACUGAGACACGGCCCAGACUCCUACGGGAGGCAGCAGUGGGGAAUAUUGGACAAUGGGCGAAAGCCUGAUCCAGCAAUGCCGCGUGAGUGAUGAAGGCCUUAGGGUUGUAAAGCUCUUUUACCCGGGAUGAUAAUGACAGUACCGGGAGAAUAAGCUCCGGCUAACUCCGUG
rnacentral:rRNA from 1 species